UACGUAGGCAGCGAGCGUUGUUCGGAGUUACUGGGCGUAAAGGGUGUGUAGGCGGUUGUUUAAGUUUGGUGUGAAAUCUCCCGGCUCAACUGGGAGGGUGCGCCGAAUACUGAAUGACUCGAGUGCGGGAGAGGAGAGUGGAAUUCCUGGUGUAGCGGUGAAAUGCGUAGAUAUCAGGAGGAACACCGGUGGUGUAGACGGCUCUCUGGACCGUAACUGACGCUGAGACACGAAAGCGUGGGGAGCAAACAGG
rnacentral:rRNA from 1 species